AGGCAGCAGUGGGGAAUUUUCCGCAAUGGGCGCAAGCCUGACGGAGCAAGACCGCGUGAGGGAGGAAGGCUCUUGGGUUGUAAACCUCUUUUAUCAGGGAAGAAGAUCUGACGGUACCUGAUGAAUCAGCAUCGGCUAACUCCGUGCCAGCAGCCGCGGUAAUACGGAGGAUGCAAGCGUUAUCCGGAUUUAUUGGGCGUAAAGCGUCCGCAGGUGGUUUUUCAAGUCUGCUGUUAAAGCGCAGAGCUUAACUCUGUAACGGCGGUGGAAACUGAGAGACUAGAGUAUGGUAGGGGUUGCGGGAAUUCCCAGUGUAGCGGUGAAAUGCGUAGAUAUUGGGAAGAACACCAGCGGCGAAAGCGCGCAACUGGGCCAUUACUGACACUCAUGGACGAAAGCUAGGGGAGCGAAAGGGAUUAGAUACCCCUGUAGUCCUAGCUGUAAACGAUGGGUACUAGGUGUUGACCGUAUCGACCCGGUCAGUGCCGUAGCUAACGCGUUAAGUACCCCGCCUGGGGAGUAUGCACGCAAGUGUGAAACUCAAAGGAAUUGACGGGGGGCCCGCACAAGCGGUGGAGUAUGUGGUUUAAUUCGAUGCAACGCGAAGAACCUUACCAGGGCUUGACAUGUCGCGAAUCUCGGUGAAAGUCGAGAGUGCCUUCGGGAGCGCGAACACAGGUGGUGCAUGGCUGUCGUCAGCUCGUGUCGUGAGAUGUUGGGUUAAGUCCCGCAACGAGCGCAACCCUCGUUUUUAGUUGCCAGCAUUUAGUUGGGCACUCUAGAGAGACUGCCGGUGACAAACCGGAGGAAGGUGGGGAUGACGUCAAGUCAGCAUGCCCCUUACGUCCUGGGCUACACACGUACUACAAUGCUUCGGACAAAGGGUUGCGAGCUAGCGAUAGCAAGCUAAUCCCGUAAACCGAGGCUCAGUUCAGAUUGCAGGCUGCAACUCGCCUGCAUGAAGGAGGAAUCGCUAGUAAUCCCAGGUCAGCAUACUGGGGUGAAUACGUUCCCGGGCCUUGUACACACCGCCCGU
rnacentral:rRNA from 1 species